rnacentral:rRNA from 1 species
GACGAACGCUGGCGGCGUGCUUAACACAUGCAAGUCGAACGGAAAGGCCCUGCUUUUGUGGGGUGCUCGAGUGGCGAACGGGUGAGUAACACGUGAGUAACCUGCCCUUGCCUUUGGGAGAACUUCAGGAAACUGGGGCUAUUCCCGGAUAGGUGCUCCUGCGGCAUGGUGGGGGCUGGAAAGUUUCGGCGGUUGGGGAUGGACUCGCGGCUUAUCAGCUUGUUGGUGGGGUAGUGGCAUACCAAGGCUUUGACGGGUAGCCUGCCUGAGAGGGUGACCGGCGACAUUGGGACUGAGAUACGGCCCAGACUCCUACGGGAGGCAACAGUGGGGAGUAUUACACAGUGGGCGGAAGCCUGAUGCAGCAACGCCGCGUGCGGGAUGACGGCCUUCGGGUUGUAAACCGCUUUCGCCUGUGACGAAGCGUGAGUGACGGUACUGGGUAAAGAAGCACCGGCUAACUACGUG